AAAUGGUUUCAAACAGGCUCUAUAGGUCGGUGAAAAAGUUCACACAGAGGAACAUUCUAAGGAUUUACCCCAAAGAAACUUAAAGUUGCCUCCUCAAAUUAUCAACCACAUAUUGAAUGGAUGCAUGGAGCUCAAAUGGUUGUGUCUAAUAUGCAGGGAUGUGAUAACUCACGAUGGUUCAUGCAUGGGAUGUUUAGAGCCAAUGAUGAGGCCCUGCCUUUUUUAUGCACAAGGGCUCAAAUGAUGAGAUUUUUGAUCCUAAAAAGACCUUGGUAGUGACAAAGACAUUGAAGAUG